UACGUAGGGGUGCUAGCGUUGUCCGGAUUUAUUGGGCGUAAAGGGCUCGUAGGCGGCGUGUCGCGUCGGGGAGUGAAAGCCCGCUGCUUAACGGCGGGUUGGCUUCCGGUACGGGCAUCGCUGGAGUGCGGCAGGGGAGACUGGAAUUCCUGGUGUAGCGGUGGAAUGCGCAGAUAUCAGGAGGAACACCGGUGGCGAAGGCGGGUCUCUGGGCCGUUACUGACGCUGAGGAGCGAAAGCGUGGGGAGCGAACAGG
rnacentral:rRNA from 1 species